UACGUAGGGUGCAAGCGUUAAUCGGAAUUACUGGGCGUAAAGCGUGCGCAGGCGGUGAUGUAAGACAGGUGUGAAAUCCCCGGGCUUAACCUGGGAACUGCAUUUGUGACUGCAUCGCUGGAGUGCGGCAGAGGGGGAUGGAAUUCCGCGUGUAGCAGUGAAAUGCGUAGAUAUGCGGAGGAACACCGAUGGCGAAGGCAAUCCCCUGGGCCUGCACUGACGCUCAUGCACGAAAGCGUGGGGAGCAAACGGGG
rnacentral:rRNA from 1 species